UCACUCUUCCAUGUAAUCAGCACUGUAGAGGAGGCAGACAGAAUAAUAAUGGAGUAAAAUAGCAGACGAGCAGAGAAAAACUGGUCUUGCUGCUGUUGCUGUUGGGGCUGUCGCCAUCUGUUGCUGUCUCUCAUGCGCCCACUCAUGAAAGAGAAGCCCAAUCCUGGACUGGCAGAUCCUGGGACAACGACAACAGGCGAAGGAACCAGGUGUGGGAGCAGAGGGAAGGAAUUGCCAAAGGCAUAGCCUGCACAAAGGAUUUGUUGUUGACGGUGGUGAUGAGGGUGCGCAGUCCUUGUCUGCACUGCUUUGCUCCCUGUUGGGGAUCCAGGUGGCAAGCAAGGGACCAGGAUGACCAGAGCAGACGGGGGGCUGCACCCCUGAUGAUGGUUCCUGGGAGGAUGGGAGUACGUGCCUGUAUUGGCCACAGGAAUUGCCAGAGCAUUUGGACUGCCUGGCUUUCAGCCUGUGUUCAUCUUCCACCAGUGAUUCCAGGAAUCACCCCCUUGAGGAUGUUGAGGUCGCAGGACUCCAAAUUCAGAAGGGCUUCUAGGUUACAGUUACUUAAUUUAUUACCAAUUUGUUCCUGGCAUGAGUUUUUAGAUAUAUAUUUUUUUCUUUAAAGUAGUUAAUGGCCUGGUAACAGUAAAUCAGUCUUCUAUUCCUCGCAUUUGCUGUUCUGCUAGACAAACCAGGUCUACCAGUAUCUCAAAUGUCAUUAAGUAUGUAGCACCUGAGUGUAAGUCCUCGACCUACCAACAUUCAUUUACUGUAAGAACCAUUAGAACCAAGAACAUUCUAUCUGAUGAACUGAACCUUACUAUAGUUAACUUGUGCUCAUUCAAAGCUGUUAGGUUACGUUACUAUUUUAAAUCAUUGCAAGCUAUUUAUGACCCUGAAAACUCUAGUACCUUUAAGUACUAGUACUACACUGCCUUUAACCUGCUGCUAUUGACUAUCAUUUUUUCUUAGUUAUAUUACGGGCCCAGGUGGCACGGUGGUGUAGUGGUUAGCGCUGUCGUCUCACAGCAAGUAGGUCCGGGUUCGAGCCCCGUGGCCAGCGAGGGCCUUUCUGUGCGGAGUUUGCAUGUUCUCCCCAUGUCCGUGUGGGUUUCCUCCAGGUGCUCUGGUUUCCCCCACAGUCCAAAGACAUGCAGGUUAGGUUAACUGCUGACUCUAAAUUGACCGUAGGUGUGAAUGGUUGUCUGUGUCUAUGUGUCAGCCCUGUGAUGACCUGGCGACUUGUCCAGGGUGUACCCCGCCUUUCGCCCGUAGUCAGCUGGGAUAGGCUCCAGCUUGCCUGCGACCCUGUAGAAGGAUAAAGUGGCUAGAGAUAAUGAGAUGAGAUGAGAUAUUACGGGCCCACAGUAACUGGCCUACCAAGGCUGUUGCAGUUACCCUGCCUUAUACUGUUUUCUUAUAUAAUAAGUUACCUGGAGAAGCUAAUAAUUUUUUUUUUAAAAAUAGCAUCUCACCAUACAUAUAUGUACAGUAGUUUAAUAUUUUCCUUACUUGUUUAAAAACUGACUUUGAGCUCAUCUUUGGGUAAAAGCUUACACCAACAAAUAAGUGUUUGCCUCAGUGAACCUGCUUCCUGUUUACAUACCCUAUAAAACAUAUUUCCACAAAAGAGAUUUUUAAAAAAUGCUUCCUUCCUUAAGGGGGUUUUGGAGUCAUGUUUCCCCACCAUGUUCUUGUUAUCUACUCUGAAAAGAAAAAAAAAACUCUGAUUAGGAUCUCACCACAGGUGUGGAAAGUUUAGCAUGAAAAAAACAGCAAGGCAGUUAUAUACAACAUAAUUUAUGCAUCUGAUAAGCAGAAAUUACACUGAAAUUCUUUUUAACCAAGUCGAUUUUACUGCAUGUUGAAGCCUGUUAAUGGUUUCUCAACUUUUAUGUGUGUACUUAACUAAUCUUUUUCCAUCUUCAGCAUCAAACUGAAGCCCAGGGCAAACUUUUGCUCUUGGAAAUAUAACACACGAUCAUAAACAGAUCUACGUCAUAGAUUAAUUUGUGUAUUAGCCGAGUCAUCAUUUGGAUAUCAAAACAUGAGUAGAAGGAAGGUUUUCUGAAGUUAGAAUAUAAUGCAAUAGAGUUUUAUCAGAAUAAAAAUAAGUAAGGAAAUUAAACUCACAUAGAGAAUGAUGUUAUAGGAAAUCAAUCCACAACGUCAUGGGAUGCAACCUGAUGCAGAGUUUUGUUGGGGUUGUUUUUACUUAUAACAGUUUGUCACAAAGUGGUUUAUUCUUCUUAUACCACAGCAAUUUGCCAACAAUUACAUUUUUAAAUUGAUUAAUA